CUUCGGCAGAGGAAGGAUUCCCUGCAUCUCCUGCUCCAAUUAAGAGAUUGAAACGCGCAUUGUGCUGUCUACGUGCCUUGAAUUUGGGAAGCCGGUACUUCACAGUUUGAGGGCGACUUUUUUUAUGACCAAACCUGAAUCUUUUAGGAAAACCCCUACAAGAGAAGUGGGAAGGACCUUUCCAAGUGCUGCUGACUACCUUCACCGCGUCCGGAUCAAGGAGCGACCUACGUGGAUUCAUUACUCGCGGGUCAAGAAAGCUCCAGAGAGUAAACAAGAGGAACGGACAUCAUGACCUUGACUUCACCUCAAGCCCUUUCAACCCUGAUCAUUGGACUCUCGAUAAGUAUAGUUCUUCCCCGAGACUCUGACCCGAUAGAUCCAUGGUCUCACGCACACCAGUGUAUCCACCCGGAAUGGGGAGCGAAGGGACCCUAUUUCGAGGUAUAUGCCCUACGUAACAAUCAGCCAUACGCAAGUAAAUUAUGGCAUCAACCUUCCAUGGUAGCAUACAAGGGAGACCAAAUCCAAAUUGAGUGUCGAGAGCUUAACUCAGUAGAAGGAAAAAACAAGGCAGCUAGUAUUAACAAUUCGAUCCUUGAGGAAAUCAGCAUCCGAACAUAACCUAAUUACCUUUAGUCCAGUGAAAAUGGGCAAGCCCACUAUUUGGAGGCAGCAAAAGGGCCCAAUUUCAUGUCGGUGGAGUGAUUUCCGGGAAGAUCCAACCGGAUCACAGCCCCAAAGACUUGCCCCAAGAAACCACUCCACCAGCGGAAUGCAAACAAUGUUUGGGCCAGUUAUGAUUAUAUCAAAAAUAAGUGCAAUCGGUUAGCACAGAGGCAUGUAUUCCUAGAGGACAGCUAGGUUAUGUUUGCGAAAACGCUGUAGUAGAAGCAGAAGAUUUAUGCUUAGAUGCUGAAAAUAGAGUGUGCACCUUUGAAGUGCUUUUGCAUAAUAGAACACAGUCACAAGUUUACUAUAUAGGGAAUGGGUGUGCUUGCGUACGGACAGCCUGUGACAAUGUCACUAUAGAUAAUUGCCAAGAGGAAACUAACAAUACUAACUUUUGUGUACGCAACUUUACCAAAAUAGUGGGUUGCGAUUUUCAUUAUACUGUCCCAAUAACUACUCAACAGCUAAUUAACACAGAUUUUAACCUGUAUCGAGAAAUACCAGAAUUGCAAAUAGGGAUGGAUGUCAAAAUUCUCAAAGCAAUGCUCGCACACCCUAAAGUAAAGGAACUGGUGCAAAGAGUGAAUCAAACAACUACACGGAUGGUAUGGCAGGUAGAACAUGAUUCAGAAAGAAUAAAGAAUGUCCUCACCGAAGUAGAACAAGUAGGCCAGCAUCAUUGGUGGGAUAUCUUCACAGGAUUUUCCCCAACAGCCACACAGGUUUUCAAUUACCUGGUGCACCCAAUGAUAUUGGUAGUUGGAGCCCUGUUGGUUUUAACUUUUACAAAUAUUUUUAUGUGGUGGAAGCUAAGGAUCAUAAUGAAAAGGACCCAAAUGGUUUGGGGUAUGGUACGAGCGCAUCAGCGCUCUUAGGAUUAGACAUCAGCACUCUUAGGAUCAGACCUUGACGAAAGAAUUCGUAAGUCAUAAGAAAAGGGGGGAAUGAAGCCAUAAAAUAGAUAGCCUUCGAGAAAUAAUGGGUUAAAACAUAGAAUAUGAAGGGAACAUCUGGAAGUAAUAAACACAACGACAGGAGGGAAAGAGAAGGAUAAAAAAAAUCACCGGACUAAGCGUAAUUUAAGCCGAAGCUAAAGCAUGCCUAAUGUCAAUAUGAUAAGUUGGCCCUAGGAGGUUGGGAACUCGG